GGUAGCUAUACAGAAAAGUGUGGAUGCUGCAAAAUAUGUUAUGCUUGCCCUGGUCAUCAAUGUGACUUGAUCAACGGACCACUCUGUAAACUGGGAUAUGUUUGCAAAUCGAUUCUAUUAAUAGAUUUACGAUUUCAUAUAUAUAUAUGUGUUUCAAUAAAAAUAGGUUAAAAGAUAAAAGUUACGAAACUGACAUACAACGAAUAUGUUGAGUUCUGAUAACUUUCAAACCUAUUAAUACUUUCUAUAUAAAAAUACUUUGUGCUUCAUAACUUUAUAUUCAACUUUUUUUCAAUACAUUUAAGUUUCCUAAUAUCUAACAGUAACCUUACAAUGACUUCACUUUUUAUUUUGUGAAAUAAAAAUGUGUCUACAAAUUA